UACGUAGGGUGCAAGCGUUGUCCGGAAUUAUUGGGCGUAAAGAGCUCGUAGGCGGUUUGUCGCGUCGAAUGUGAAAACCCGGGGCUCAACUCCGGGCCUGCAUUCGAUACGGGCAGACUAGAGUUCGGUAGGGGAGACUGGAAUUCCUGGUGUAGCGGUGAAAUGCGCAGAUAUCAGGAAGAACACCUAUGGCGAAGGCAGCUCUCUGGGACGGUACUGACGCUGAGACGCGAAAGCGUGGGGAGCGAACAGG
rnacentral:rRNA from 1 species